UACGAAGGGGGCGAGCGUUGUUCGGAUUUACUGGGCGUAAAGGGCGCGUAGGCGGCGGGUCAAGUCGAGUGUGAAAGCCCCGGGCUCAACCUGGGAAUUGCGCUCGAGGCUGGUCUGCUUGAGUUCGGGAGAGGAGAGUGGAAUUCCCAGUGUAGAGGUGAAAUUCGUAGAUAUUGGGAAGAACACCGGUGGCGAAGGCGGCUCUCUGGACCGAGACUGACGCUGAGGCGCGAAAGCGUGGGGGAGCAAACAGG
rnacentral:rRNA from 1 species